rnacentral:rRNA from 1 species
AACUAACGCUGGCGGCGUGCCUAACACAUGCAAGUCGUACGAGAAAGUUGGCUUCGGCCGAUGAGUAAAGUGGCGCACGGGUGAGUAAUGCGUGGAUAAUCUGCCCUUUAGUUGGGAAUAACGUACCGAAAGGUGCGCUAAUACCUGAUAAUACUGCAUAACUACUGUUGUGUAGUCAAAGAAGGCCUCUGUUUACAAGCUUUUGCUGAAGGAUGAGUCCGCGUACCAUUAGCUGGUUGGUGGGGUAAUGGCCUACCAAAGGCUACGAUGGUUAGCUGGUCUGAGAGGAUGAUCAGCCACACUGGAACUGAGACACGGUCCAGACUCCUACGGGAGGCAGCAGUGAGGAAUAUUGCGCAAUGGGGGCAACCCUGACGCAGCAACGCCGCGUGAGUGAGGAAGGUUUUCGGACCGUAAAGCUCUGUCGAGCGGGAAGAAAUGUAUCAUGGCUAAUAUCCAUGAUACUUGACGGUACCGCUAAAGG